UAAUGGAUAUUGUGGAAGACUGAAGAGAAGGCACUGCUUGAACACCUGGAUGAAGUUGGAGGAAAGCUCAUACUUAGUGGCCGCUCUGGAAGAUAAAGAAAAUUCAGAAGGGAAGGGAGAAAUGGAUGAAUUGCUCUAUGUCAUACAAGGGAUGAAGGGCUGGCUUUGGACCUGGGCAGGACAUGGGCACGAACCACCACAGUAACUGCCAGCACUGUACAUACAGCAGCUUUUCCUAUAUCAAUCUCAGUAACAGCAGAAAGAAUAUCUAGCCUGCUUAUGCCUCUGAACAUUUUGAAGUCAAACAUCUGAACCUUCUUCCUUUGGGCAGCAUCUAUUCAGCACCCAGGAAACAAAUUGAUACUGAGAGCCUGUUUCUAUCAGGGAAACGAUCUCGGAAAUUAAGAGAAAGAGGAAAGGACUGGGCUUGCCUCAGAGAGAAAAUUGCACAGAAAUAAACCCACCAAAACACGCAAACAAACGAAAAAAAAAAACAACAAAAAACCAACCAAUAUCUCCCCAAAAUCCAAUUACCAAAGGAAAGCAGCAGAAAAUUUCCUAGAGGCAUUGUGAAGG